CCUACGGGAGGCAGCAGUGGGGAAUAUUGGGCAAUGGAGGAAACUCUGACCCAGCGACGCCGCGUGCGGGAUGAAGGCCUUCGGGUUGUAAACCGCUUUCAGUAGGGAAGAAGCGAAAGUGACGGUACCUACAGAAGAAGCACCGGCUAACUAUGUGCCAGCAGCCGCGGUAAUACAUAGGGUGCAAGCGUUGUCCGGAAUUAUUGGGCGUAAAGAGCUCGUAGGUGGUUCGUCACGUCGGAUGUGAAAAUCUGGGGCUCAAUCCCAGACCUGCAUUCGAUACGGGCGAUCUAGAGUGUGGUAGGGGAGACUGGAAUUCCUGGUGUAGCGGUGGAAUGCGCAGAUAUCAGGAGGAACACCAAUGGCGAAGGCAGGUCUCUGGGCCAUUACUGACACUGAGGAGCGAAAGCGUGGGGAGCGAACAGGAUUAGAUACCCUGGUAGUCCACGCCGUAAACGGUGGGCACUAGUUGUGGGAACCUUCCACGGUUUCUGCGACGCNGCUACGACAUAGUCGCCCGCCGUCGGGUAGGUACGAGUCGCGAAGAAUUAAACUACAAUAGAAGUUAGUACGGCGUGAGACGUGCCGACGGACGACGACGAGGGAGGUUAGG
rnacentral:rRNA from 1 species